rnacentral:lncRNA from 1 species
AAAAUGUAUUAGUAGGCUGGUUUCAACCCUGGGGCCACCACCUUGCAACGUCUGAAAUGAAGUAUUCACCAGCAACCCACAGGAAGGCUUGCUUUGGCUAAUCUAUGGUCAAGACAGAAACAAAUUUCAACACCGUGGAAACUGGGACUCAUUGGAGAUGGCGUAGAGGCAGAAAAGACUGAGCGAGUUGUGGAAAAGGCUGAGCAGGAAGAGGAAGCAGAAGAAUGGUAGAAGGAUGUUCAGUGAGAUGUUGCCAUGCAAGGGCAAGGUUAUUAGAGCUGCUGCAGCCGUCUUGUGACAAUAAAAGAGAACCAAGAGGAUUUCAGAGAUACCAUCCCACAUCCUGACAUUAUGUAGCUUCUGAACCAUCUGUCUCCAUGGAUCUUGCUAUGUGAGCUUCUCUAUGCCACCUGAAUUCCUUGGCUUGCAGCCCCUUCCUCCAUCUUCAAAAUCAUCGGAAGAAACAAAAACAAGCUGUGGUGAAGAAGAAACGUUUUCUAAAGCCUCUUUUAUCCCCAGGAUGGUUGAGAAGUCAGAGGCCUGCAAUGCUAGGAAGAGAGGAUCUAAAAUGUCCUUUUCACCGUGAUGUAAGUAGGCUCUCCAGCAGUCCCAGAAGACUUUCACAAGAGGAGUUUCAGACAACAGAAAAUAAGCCUAAGUGAUUGUGUGAAUAUCACAGAGCAACAGAGAAAAUGUGGAUCACUCCAACUCUAGCACAAGGUCGGGGAGGAAAAAAAAUCAGAGAGUUUGGAAUUUCUAAAUGCUCGUGUUUGAGAAAUGGGGAGCAUCACAAACUAACAGCAGAGGUGGACAUUUUUUACAGGGUAAAGGAUUCCCAUGGAACAGCACUCGUCAAAUGCAAAUAAAAAUUGUACAAAGAAGGUAACUUCUUUCUCUGUCCCCAC